UACGUAGGGUGCAAGCGUUAAUCGGAAUUACUGGGCGUAAAGAGCGCGCAGGCGGCUGGUCAAGUCCGAUGUGAAAGCUCCCGGCUUAACUGGGAAACGGCAUCGGAAACUGAUCGGCUUGAAGGUGGGAGAGGGUAGUGGAAUUCCCGGUGUAGUGGUGAAAUGCGUAGAUAUCGGGAGGAACACCAGUGGCGAAGGCGACUACCUGGCCCACUCUUGACGCUGAGGCGCGAAAGCUAGGGGAGCAAACAGG
rnacentral:rRNA from 1 species